rnacentral:rRNA from 1 species
GACGAACGCUGGCGGCGUGCCUAAUACAUGCAAGUCGAGCGGACGGAUGGGAGCUUGCUCCCAGACCGUCAGCGGCGGACGGGUGAGUAACACGUGGGCAACCUGCCUGUAAGACUGGGAUAACUCCGGGAAACCGGGACUAAUACCGGAUAACUCUUUCCCUCACAUGAGGGAAAGCUGAAAGAUGGCAUCUCGCUAUCACUUACAGAUGGGCCCGCGGCGCAUUAGCUAGUUGGUGAGGUAACGGCUCACCAAGGCGACGAUGCGUAGCCGACCUGAGAGGGUGAUCGGCCACACUGGGACUGAGACACGGCCCAGACUCCUACGGGAGGCAGCAGUAGGGAAUCUUCCGCAAUGGACGAAAGUCUGACGGAGCAACGCCGCGUGAGUGAUGAAGGUUUUCGGAUCGUAAAACUCUGUUGUCAGGGAAGAACAAGUACCGGAGUAACUGCCGGUACCUUGACGGUACCUGACCAGAAAGCCACGGCUAACUACGUG